GACGAACGCUGGCGGCGUGCUUAACACAUGCAAGUCGAACGAUGAAAGAGGAGCUUGCUCCUCUGGAUUAGUGGCGAACGGGUGAGUAACACGUGAGCAAUCUGCCCCUGACUCCGGAAUAACUACGGGAAACUGUAGCUAAUACCGGAGAUGCGCCGAACAGGCAUCUGGAUCGGUGGGAAAGAAUUUCGGUCAGGGAUGGGCGCGCGGCCUAUCAGCUUGUGGGUGAGGUAACGGCUAACCCAGGCGACGACGGGUGGCCGGCCUGGGAGGGUGACCGGCCACAUUGGGCCUGAGACACGGCCCAGACUCCUACGGGAGGCAGCAGUGGGGAAUAUUGCACAAUGGGCGCAAGCCUGUUGCAGCAACGCCGCGUGAGGGAUGACGGCCUUCUGGUUGUAAACCUCUUUUAGCAGGGAACAAGCGAAAGUGACGGUACCUGCAGAAAAAGCGCCGGCUAACUACGUG
rnacentral:rRNA from 1 species